UACAGAGGCCCCAAGCGUUACCCGGAAUUACUGGGCGUAAAGAGUGCGUAGGUGGUCAUGUUAGUCGGUCGUUAAAUGCCCAGGGCUCAACCUUGGGAAUCCGGUCGAAACGGCAUGACUCGAGGGCGCGAGAGGUGAAUGGAACUCAUGGUGUAGGGGUGAAAUCCGUUGAUAUCAUGGGGAACACCGAAAGCGAAGGCAAUUCACUGGCGCGUUCCUGACACUCAAGCACGAAAGCGUGGGUAGCGAACGGG
rnacentral:misc_RNA from 1 species